UACGUAGGCAGCAAGCGUUGUUCGGAAUUACUGGGCGUAAAGAGUACGUAGGUGGUUUGCUAAGUCCGAUGUGAAAUCUCCCGGCCUUAACUGGGAGGGUGCGUUAGAUACUGGCAGGCUUGAGUGUGGGAGAGGAGAGCGGAAUUCCUGGUGUAGCGGUGAAAUGACGUAGAUAUCAGGAGGAACGCCUGUGGUGUAGACGGCUCUCUGGACCAUUACUGACACUGGAGGUACGAAAAGCGUGGGUAGCAAACAGG
rnacentral:rRNA from 1 species